AGCCCGCUAGUGUAGUGGUCAAGCAUACGGGGCUCUGGACCCUGGGACCGAGGUUCGAAUCCUCGGCGGGCUA
rnacentral:tRNA from 1 species